CAGCUUCUGCAUAACUUCAUCUCACUCGACACGCAGCCUUUUGAAGGACCAGAUUUACUUCCUUGCUGGCAUCCGCUGUGGCAGCAGCAGCAAUGGGGAAGGCAAAAUUAUCAUCAUCCACCAAUGACUCUUCAGUGGAAGGUGCAGGCUGGAGUCUCCCGGCAAGUGGCUUCCGGAAGGCCUCACAGUACCGAUUCUGGGUUGAACAAUGUGCUCCAGCAAGCAGCAUCCCACUGCGGGCAUGUCUGGAGUGAAAAGCCUUACCUAGAUUUUUCCCAUUCAUUGUGAUUGAUCUACCUGAAGUGGAUGAACUGAAGAGUCAAGGAAUUUGAACAGCACGAAUGUGUCCCUUCUCAUUGCCUUUACCCAGGGAUGAGUGACAGUAAGGCUACUACUUUGUGAUUCUGCUAUUUUAACAGCCUGAGAAGUCAGCUGUGCCCUGGGGUGGUGGCGAAGGGAGCGCAGCAGCUGACCUCUGGACGUGUGCAAGG